rnacentral:tRNA from 1 species
ACGAAGAUAAGAUAGCCGGUCAGUCCUAGAGAUUGUGGAUCUCUAUACCCGGGUUCAAAUCCCGGUCUUCGUCCCA